CAGUCGCCGCGGUAAUACGUAGGGUGCAAGCUUUAAUCGGAAUUACUGGGCGUAAAGCGUGCGCAGGCGGUUAUAUAAGACAGAUGUGAAAUCCCCGGGCUCAACCUGGGAACUGCAUUUGUGACUGUAUAGCUAGAGUACGGCAGAGGGGGAUGGAAUUCCGCGUGUAGCAGUGAAAUGCGUAGAUAUGCGGAGGAACACCGAUGGCGAAGGCAAUCCCCUGGGCCUGUACUGACGCUCAUGCACGAAAGCGUGGGGAGCAAACAGGAUUAGAUACCCCAGUAGUCCCUGUCUCUUAUAC
rnacentral:rRNA from 1 species